GGAAGUGGUAGAGCUUAGUGGUAGAGCUUUGCAUGCAGAAGGUUCCAGGUUCAAUCCCUGGCAUCUCCA